UACGUAGGGUGCGAGCGUUAAUCGGAAUUACUGGGCGUAAAGCGUGCGCAGGCGGUUUUGCAAGCCGGAUGUUAAAUCCCCGGGCUCAACCUGGGAAUGGCAUUCGGGACUGCAAGGCUGGAGUGCGGCAGAGGAGACUGGAAUUCCUGGUGUAGCAGUGAAAUGCGUAGAUAUCAGGAGGAAUACCGAUGGCGAAGGCAGGUCUCUGGGCUGACACUGACGCUCAUGCACGAAAGCGUGGGGAGCAAACAGG
rnacentral:rRNA from 1 species